GACGAACGCUGGCGGCGUGCCUAAUACAUGCAAGUAGAACGCACAGUUUAUACCGUAGCUUGCUACACCAUAAACUGUGAGUUGCGAACGGGUGAGUAACGCGUAGGUAACCUGCCUGGUAGCGGGGGAUAACUAUUGGAAACGAUAGCUAAUACCGCAUAAUAUUGAUUAUUGCACGAUAAUUGAUUGAAAGAUGCUAUUGCAUCACUGCCAGAUGGACCUGCGUUGUAUUAGCUAGUAGGUGAGGUAACGGCUCACCUAGGCGACGAUACAUAGCCGACCUGAGAGGGUGAUCGGCCACACUGGGACUGAGACACGGCCCAGACUCCUACGGGAGGCAGCAGUAGGGAAUCUUCGGCAAUGGACGAAAGUCUGACCGAGCAACGCCGCGUGAGUGAAGAAGGUUUUCGGAUCGUAAAGCUCUGUUGUAAGAGAAGAACGGGUGUGAGAGUGGAAAGUUCACACUGUGACGGUAUCUUACCAGAAAGGGACGGCUAACUACGUGCCAGCAGCCGCGGUAAUACGUAGGUCCCGAGCGUUGUCCGGAUUUAUUGGGCGUAAAGCGAGCGCAGGCGGUUAGAUAAGUCUGAAGUUAAAGGCUGUGGCUUAACCAUAGUACGCUUUGGAAACUGUUUAACUUGAGUGCAGAAGGGGAGAGUGGAAUUCCAUGUGUAGCGGUGAAAUGCGUAGAUAUAUGGAGGAACACCGGUGGCGAAAGCGGCUCUCUGGUCUGUAACUGACGCUGAGGCUCGAAAGCGUGGGGAGCGAACAGG
rnacentral:rRNA from 1 species